rnacentral:rRNA from 1 species
AUUGAACGCUGGCGGCAGGCCUAACACAUGCAAGUCGAACGGUAACAGGAAGAAGCUUGCUUCUUUGCUGACGAGUGGCGGACGGGUGAGUAAUGUCUGGGAAACUGCCUGAUGGAGGGGGAUAACUACUGGAAACGGUAGCUAAUACCGCAUAACGUCGCAAGACCAAAAAGGGGGACCUUCGGGCCUCUUGCCAUCGGAUGUGCCCAGAUGGGAUUAGCUAGUAGGUGGGGUAACGGCUCACCUAGGCGACGAUCCCUAGCUGGUCUGAGAGGAUGACCAGCCACACUGGAACUGAGACACGGUCCAGACUCCGACGGGAGGCAGCAGUGGGGAAUAUUGCACAAUGGGCGCAAGCCUGAUGCAGCCAUGCCGCGUGUAUGAAGAAGGCCUUCGGGUUGUAAAGUACUUUCAGCGGGGAGGAAGGGAGUAAAGUUAAUACCUUUGCUCAUUGACGUUACCCGCAGAAGAAGCACCGGCUAACUCCGU